UACGUAGGUGGCAAGCGUUGUCCGGAUUUAUUGGGUUUAAAGGGUGCGUAGGCGGUUUUUUUAAGUCAGUGGUGAAAUACGGCAGCUCAACUGUCGAGGUGCCAUUGAUACUGGGAAACUUGAGUACUGAUGAGGUAGGCGGAAUGGACGGUGUAGCGGUGAAAAUGCUUAGAUAUCGUCCAGAACACCGAUAGCGAAAGGCAGCUUACUAAGGAGUAACUGACGCUGAGGCACGAAAAGUGUGGGGGAGUCAAAACAGG
rnacentral:rRNA from 1 species